rnacentral:rRNA from 1 species
CCGCCGCGCGGCGGGCGGGGCGGGGGCACGGGGGGAGGAAAGUAGGGGAUCGCAAGACCUCUCACUAUUGGAGCGGCCGAUGUCUGAUUAGCUAGUUGGCGGGGUAAAAGCCCACCAAGGCGACGAUCAGUAGCUGGUUUGAGAGAACGACCAGCCACACUGGGACUGAGACACGGCCCAGACUCCUACGGGAGGCAGCAGUGGGGAAUUUUGGACAAUGGGGGCAACCCUGAUCCAGCCAUGCCGCGUGCGGGAAGAAGGCCUUCGGGUUGUAAACCGCUUUUGUCAGGGAAGAAAUGGGCCGGGUUAAUACCUGGGGUUGAUGACGGUACCUGGAGAAUAAGCACCGGCUAACUACGUGCCAGCAGCCGCGGUAAUACGUAGGGUGCAAGCGUUAAUCGGAAUUACUGGGCGUAAAGCGUGCGCAGGCGGUUUGCAAGUCAGA